rnacentral:rRNA from 1 species
GACGAACGCUGGCGGCGUGCCUAAUACAUGCAAGUAGAACGCUGAAGGAGGAGCUUGCUUCUCUGGAUGAGUUGCGAACGGGUGAGUAACGCGUAGGUAACCUGCCUGGUAGCGGGGGAUAACUAUUGGAAACGAUAGCUAAUACCGCAUAAGAGUAGAUGUUGCAUGACAUUUGCUUAAAAGUUGCAAUUGCAUCACUACCAGAUGGACCUGCGUUGUAUUAGCUAGUUGGUGGGGUAACGGCUCACCAAGGCGAAGAUACAUAUCCGACCUGAGAGGGUGAUCGGCCACACUGGGAAUGAGACACGGCCCAGACUCCUACGGGAGGCAGCAGGAGGGAAUCUUCGGAAAUGGACGGAAGUCUGACCGAGCAACGCCGCGUGAGUGAAGAAGGUUUUCGGAUCGUAAAGCUCUGUUGUAAGAGAAGAACGAGUGUGAGAGUGGAAAGUUCACACUGUGACGGUAUCUUACCAGAAAGGGACGGCUAACUACGUG